rnacentral:misc_RNA from 1 species
GAGGAGAAGAGAUAUUGGCAGAGAUACAUAUAUUUGUGGAUAAAUUAUGCUCUCUAUGAAGAACUUGAUGCUGAAGAUAUGGAGAGAACACGGGAUGUAUACAGGGAAUGCAUGAACCUAAUUCCUCACAAGAAGUUUUCAUUUGCAAAGAUAUGGCUUUUAGCUGCUCAAUUUGAAAUUCGACAGUUGAAUCUCACAGGUGCUCGACAAAUUUUAGGCAAUGCCAU